rnacentral:pre_miRNA from 1 species
AAAAAGUUUAUUUUUCAGUUUUUAUAUAACGUUUGACUCUUCGUCUUAUUUUUUAAAAAAAUAUGAUUAAUAUUUUUAUUGUUAUUAGAUGAUAAAACAUGAAUAGUACUUUAUAUGCGGCUAAUUGUUUUAUUUUUUUUCAAAUAAUAUGAAUGGUCAAACGUUGGAUACAGAAACCCAAAAAUAAACUUAUU